rnacentral:rRNA from 1 species
UACAGAGGGUGCGAGCGUUGUCCGGAAUCACUGGGCGUAAAGGGCGCGUAGGCGGCCACGCACGUCCGUUGUGAAAUCGCCCGGCUCAACUGGGCGGGGUCAGCGGAUACGGUGUGGCUCGAGCAAGCUAGGGGGCAAUGGAAUUCCCGGUGUAGUGGUGGAAUGCGUAGAUAUCGGGAGGAACACCAGUGGCGAAGGCGGUUGCCUGGAGCUUUGCUGACGCUGAGGCGCGAAAGCGUGGGGAGCGAUCCGG